AUGUGGAUAGCCAUCAAUCAGUUUCAGAAAAUAAGUCAUCUGAAUUUGGUCUCCUCGGCAUGGAAUAUAGGAAAGUGCUUGUGUUUCCUCACCAGCGAAUGGAUAUUAUUGGUCUCCUCAUCUGCUAGGCGAAGAGAAGGGAAUGUCUCUCUUGUAGGCCUCCUUUCCACUCAAUUUUGUUUAGAAAAGCACAUGGAUGCUUUGCUCCAGGCAAGGGAGCAGAACAUCUCAGGAGCCAUUUUCAGACACCACUCAAUUUGCAGAACCAGGAUUAAAAAGGAAGAAAAAAAACUUUAAUGAGUGUGCCUUUACAGAUAUAGAUUGAUCUCUGGGGACCUGGCUGAAUCUGAUGUUCUCUAAAAAAAAAUUCAUGCUGUCCAAAAACAAAGCAAGAGGCAGCUAGAGAAUGUUAUUUCUUAUAUAUUUUUUAUUUUUAUUACAAUUGUUAUGUGAUAUUUGUUCUCAGUUGCAAGCUGGGCUUGCGUUGGAAAAAAAAUCUUUCUGUUUGUUUGAAAGAAGUCUGGAUUUUUAAAAUGACAAAUGUUUACUUGGAUUGUCUGUUUUUGCUUUAUUUUUAAGCUGGGCUUAUGAAGCCUAAAGAAUGUGUGUGUGUGUGUGUGUGUGUUGGUGUAUAUCUGUGCUUUUUGUUGUUGUUGUUGUUGCUACUACUUCUUGUGUAAAUAUAUGAUUGAUUACUGAUGUGCUAUUUGAAGAAAACCAGCAUUAAAUGCUAUCAACCACUGCUAGGAAGAGAACCUCUAAAAUUCAGCAUUUCUUGGCCAAAGCAAACUUAAGAUGCUGACUGUUGGCUGGCUCUUUGCAGAAAACCGAAGUUGGGUUGAAGCUGGAGUCAGUUCACACAGUGUGGAUGCUUAUUCCACUUUCACGGGUGCUAAAGAGGAAUGGCAGGUUUUGGAAAAAUAACACUUCAUAACUGCCAAGGAAAAUCUUUGCUGCACCAAAAGCUCUUGAGUUGACGAGUCCACUUCUUCCUGCAACGGAAUUCAAUUCUUAAGUUUUGAAGAGAGUUUAAUUUAGUUUAAUCUCGUAUUCUUCCUCUCUGCAAUGCACCAUGCGAAUGCAGAGACGCAAGAAAGAGCAAAAGAGAUACCACUUGAUGCAGAAAGCUCUUAGCCAAAAACUCUGCUGCCAAUCUUUUCAUCACCAAGAGACCACAUAUAGAGAUGGAUUUAUGUAUUUCAAGGAAAUCUGUGGGUAUUAUGAGCUCUUUAUAUCUUGUUCGUUUCCUGUUCAGCUAGAUUAUGGUUGGUUAUCGUAGUGAGUUCUUUUUGGCAAGGAUUGUGUGCACUAGCAUCACAACUUAUAUGACAAUGCAUUUCUCUCACUUGAGUUCCUCCCACUUCUUCCCAUAGGCUUUUGAGAAGGUACCAGUUGCGUGUUUCCUAUUGAAAUAUAUCUUGAAGAGGAAAAGUUUUAAAAAUAAAAAAUGUACAUCAAUGGAGAAUCGAAAGGAAAAAAUUGUUAUAUAUUCAUUUGUAAUUAUGUAAAACAAACAGGUUAGGUUUACGAUUGUAAAUUUUUUAAUUUCCCACACUGUAAUUUGCAAAAAUGGAAAAAAACAGAUUUUCAUAAUCUUUUUAUUUAUCUACCUUUCUUGCUACAAAAAACAACUCUUAUAAAAAGUUAAAUUUCCCUACCCCUUUAAAUAAAUGUUGAUUCGAAGUCAGAUGAUUUUUUUGCUUGCUGGCCUCUGUAUAUCUGUGUCUCUCCGUGUGUUUUCUCACCCUUCCUUUUCAGAUUGAAACUGUUGGAUGAAAAAAAAUGGAAUAAGCUGCUUUAUUUCGUACACAGAGGAAGGAAGCCCUGUGUGGCGACAGGAUAAAUGUAAAUACGUUUUUGUGCUGCACUGAAUAGAAAUGUAAUCUCCCCCACAAAAAAAUUGAAUUAAAG
ensembl:lncRNA